GACGGAGGAUGCAAGUGUUAUCCGGAAUCACUGGGCGUAAAGCGUCUGUAGGUGGUUUAAUAAGUCAACCGUUAAAUCUUGAGGCUCAACCUCAAAAUCGCAGUCGAAACUAUUAGGCUAGAGUAUAGUAGGGGUAAAGGGAAUUUCCAGUGGAGCGGUGAAAUGCGUAGAGAUUGGAAAGAACACCGAUGGCGAAGGCACUUUACUGGGCUAUUACUAACACUCAGAGACGAAAGCUAGGGUAGCAAAUGGG
rnacentral:rRNA from 1 species